rnacentral:rRNA from 1 species
CCUACGGGGGGCAGCAGUGAGGAAUAUUGGUCAAUGGGCGGAAGCCUGAACCAGCCAAGUAGCGUGCAGGAUGACGGCCCUACGGGUUGUAAACUGCUUUUAUACGGGAAUAACGCGCCUUACGUGUAGGGCUUUGCAUGGACCGUAUGAAUAAGGACCGGCUAAAUCCGUGCCAGCAGCCGCGGUAAUACGGAAGGUCCGGGGGUUAUCCGGAUUUUUUGGGUUUAAAGGGAGCGUAGGCCGCAUGUCAAGCGUGCUGUGAAAUAUCCGGGCUCAACCCGUGCCUUGCAGCGCGAACUGGCGUGCUUGAGUCCGCGGAAAGCAGGCGGAAUUCGUGGUGUAGCGGUGAAAUGCUUAGAUAUGACGAAGAACCCCGAUUGCGAAGGCAGCUUGCUGCAGCCGAACUGACGCUGAUGCUCGAAAGCGCGGGUAUCGAACAGGAUUAGAUACCCCUGUAGUC